rnacentral:rRNA from 1 species
GGGGAUAACAUUUGAAAACAGAUGCUAAUACCGCAUAGAUCCAAGAACCGCAUGGUUCUUGGCUGAAAGAUGCCGUAAGCUAUCGCUUUUGGAUGGACCCGCGGCGUAUUAGCUAGUUGGUGAGGUAAUGGCUCACCAAGGCGAUGAUACGUAGCCGAACUGAGAGGUUGAUCGGCCACAUUGGGACUGAGACACGGCCCAAACUCCUACGGGAGGCAGCAGUAGGGAAUCUUCCACAAUGGACGCAAGUCUGAUGGAGCAACGCCGCGUGAGUGAAGAAGGCUUUCGGGUCGUAAAACUCUGUUGUUGGAGAAGAAUGGUCGGCAGAGUAACUGUUGUCGGCGUGACGGUAUCCAACCAGAAAGCCACGGCUAACUACGUGCCAGCAGCCGCGGUAAUACGUAGGUGGCAAGCGUUAUCCGGAUUUAUUGGGCGUAAAGCGAGCGCAGGCGGUUUUUUAAGUCUGAUGUGAAAGCCCUCGGCUUAACCGAGGAAGCGCAUCGGAAACUGGGAAACUUGAGUGCAGAAGAGGACAGUGGAACUCCAUGUGUAGCGGUGAAAUGCGUAGAUAUAUGGAAGAACACCAGUGGCGAAGGCGGCUGUCUGGUCUGUAACUGACGCUGA